rnacentral:rRNA from 1 species
UACGUAGGCAGCGAGCGUUGUUCGGAGUUACUGGGCGUAAAGAGCGUGUAGGCGGUUCGGUAGGUCCGUUGUGAGAACUCGAGGCUCAACCUCGAGACGCCGAUGGAAACCAUCGAACUAGAGUCCGGAAGAGGAGAGUGGAAUUCCUGGUGUAGCGGUGAAAUGCGCAGAUAUCAGGAAGAACACCCGUGGCUAAGGCGGCUCUCUAGUACGGUACUGACGCUGAGACGCGAAAGCGUGGGGAGCGAACAGG